GAGAGAGACAGAUAUCGAUGCUGGACUAGGACUGAGGGGAAAAACCAAGAGAGAAACAGACAUCAGUUACAGAAACUGACCUAAGGAAGAAAGAGGCCAUAUUUCAGACUAGGACUGUAGGAGAAAAGAAGGAAGACUGAAGGAGAAGGAAGAAAGAGCUCUACAGGUAACAACAGUGUCAAGAUGAAGGAUUUCUUGACACAUCGAGGGGCAGCCCCACGUAGGAAUCCCCCAGGAAGCCUCAGAGAGCUGCCAGAGGCCCCUGGAAGGAGAGCCCCACCACUCCCUCUCUCCCACCCAAGGACAGCAUUUGCAGGUGCCCAUCUCGGAUAUGUGGGCUCCUUCAGAGGCAGGCAUGCAUUCUCCUCCCUGGUCCCAUUACUGGACCACGAUGAGCCUGAAGACUUGGCCCCUCCUCCCAGCCCUCUCUGGUUUCAGAAAACCUCAAGAGCUUCCCACCAAGUUACCAAGGCAACUGCAGCCCCGCAGGAUUCACAGUGACAAUGGAGAGAAGGCAGAGACUGACAACAGCCCCACAUCUCAAGGAGAGCAGGGAGACAGAGGCUUCAGACCAGAGCAAACAUCCCCUGCAUCCCUGCUCAAGGAACUGUUUUCCUGCAGUUUGUGAGCUGACACAGCCCAGUCCCAGUAUUCUGGAAGACCUAUUACUUUAAGGUUCACAGCAACCCCGAGGCCUUGUGGGAUGAGGUGGAGCUCCUGCAGAGCAGCCUCUAGGGAGAACCAAUGAUGCUGGGUUCUGAUGUUAGAAACCAGGUCUUGAGGAUGACUCAGUCACGGCCUCCCCCAGAAUAAACUCACAGACUCGGGCCUGUGUCCUCAACUCUGCUGGCAAGAAAGCCUUUGUCUCCAGCCCAACGAUACCGUCUUCCACACCAGCCACCAUGCCCUGGACUCUCUCCUCAUUGUUUGGACAGAGAAGAUAUGGAGGUGCUAGAAGCCAAAGGCCAGGCUUUUCUUCUAGGGCUGCGGAAGCUGUCACCCUCCUUGUGCCCAUAAAUCAGUGCCCCCACAGGCCCUGUUAACUGGAAAGGAGGAACUCCUGACGGUUGGUGGCUGUGGGAUGACUGGGUGGGGGAUGAGGAAAUCUGAGGGACACAACUGGAAAAAAAAAAGCAGGAGCUGGGCCUUGGGAAGCCACCCCUUCCAGGGUUUCCCUGAGGGCAGAGAAGCCCCUGCUGUGUCAGCUCCAGGUUAGGAAUGUGCCACACCCCUGCUCAGCACUCCCUGCCUCACCCCACCUCUAUGUGCCUCCUAGAUAGGUACAGGAACAGUCACAGAGGACAGUUAGGUCUGGAAGAGAAAAAGGUUGUUUUUGUUUUCUCCCCAUGAGGAAGAGCCUAGUGGGCAGGACAUGGGCAAUAGCAACACAGAUUAAUCUGGAAGUCAUUCUGAAGAAAAUUCAGCUCCCCAAAGAUAGCCAAACCAGGGUCAGGUGCUGGGGACUGGUAAGAGGCAAGAGUUAUACUGUCCCCAUACUGGGACCCACCUGGCCUUGGCCAUGGUUCCUGGACGGAGACCUGCCCUACUAGCGGAUCUCCUCAAGGCAGAAGUCCGAUUCCUUCCAGCCCAAGGAGUCUCAGGGACAAGCUAGAAAAGCCUCUUUCUCAAGUCUCUGUCUCUGCCUGCCAGAAAGAGAUUGCUUCCAGUUCCCAGAGGGCCUGCCCUACUCACCCUCCGAUUGACAGGUGGACAGACAAAAUUUCCCGUGUUCUCAAAGUUCAGGCUAAAGACAGCAGCCGAGAAUCCUCUCGUUGGGAUGACCCAGGAGCGCCCCCUGCUGUCUGAUUUGGCUGAGGGCUGGAGGAAGGAAGGAGUAUUGAAGCAGAUUAUAGUUGCCCCAGCAGAACGGGCCACGCUUUAUGUUGCCUCUUCUGUACACUGCCAGAGCCUGAAUCAGAGCUGGACUUCCUUAGCGGUCUCUCAGGAAGGGAAUUACCAGAGAACUGUUGACCAGGGACAAGGACACAUGGGGACCCUGCAGCCUGGCCCCUGGGCACAGGCCCAGAGCGCUGCGGAGGCUGUCCAGUUUGCAGGUGUUCCUGGCUUCAGGAGAAAAGUCAUGUUCUGUAGCAAAAUCAGUCUUCUCCUCUGAGCCUCAAGAGAGAAGAGGCUAUACCACACUCAGUGAAUCAUCUCAGUGAGUGUGUGGUGGUGGGGGGUCUCUGCCAGCCUUGGGGAGCACAGGAGAGAGCCCACUUCUCCCCAGCAACUCCCCCAGGUGCCAGGGGGACAUGUCCAAAUUUACCAUUGAUUAUACAGAUAACAAUAGCUGUUUCCAAAAGGACCUCUGGCUCCAUGUCUGCAAGCUCAGGAGAGACUUAAAGACUCUUCAGGUCUCUUGAGCUCCAACAUCCUAUGAGCCUAUAGGAUUCUACAGCCCAUCCCUAGUGGCUGUCUUCUCUCCCAACCACACACCACUUCCUGCUCCCAGUUCUUCCUUUAAUCUGAUUUAAACUCCUCUUCCUGGGGCGCCUGGAUGGCUCAGUCAGUUAGGCAUCUGCCUUCCU